CAAUCCAUACAAUGCGCGAAGUUCCAACCAGGAACAGCAUACAAACAAAGAUUACAUUUUACAUAUUACAUCUAUAUUUUUACUUCCAAAUACAAUCCAGAUUUUACAAUUAUUACAACAUGGUUCUUUACAUUCUUUACAUCCCUAAGUAGCCGACUCAGGGUACUACUAUCUCUGGUCUCAGUGGUAGGGCGCUAUCUAUGGAGCUGUGCCCUUUCCUCGUGCCGCCGCGCCGCUCGCGUGUGAACCUGAAAUCCCCAAAACAACGUAGGGUGAGAACUAUUGUUCAUAGUUUUCAGUGGGUACGGCCACUCAAGGGAAGAGCUCGACCUACCAGGUCCAAAGUAGGCACUGCAAACAUGUUAGUGCAACAGAUAUAUAUAUAACAUCAUAUAAAUCAUGUUCAUGCCUCACAACAUGCAACUAUGCAAAUCAUGCAACUAUGCAAAUCAU
rnacentral:lncRNA from 1 species